CAUGUAUUCAUCCUUGGGUGUGUGUCAAGAUGGAGAGUGGGGCCUCCCAUGCUAUGGUCCGAACUGGGUGCCGGGAUCCGCAGGCUGUUGCUGUCCAUCCGUAAGAAGAAGCCGGAAAGGGCAGCGGAAAUAUGACUUGUCAAAAUGGAAGAUUAUCCUCUGUUCUGGCCAUCUUUUUGGGCAGCUCCAUUGUAAGGAACAUGGAGGUUCCCAAGACAAAAGCUGUGUCAUCCUGGGACCCGUGUGAUGGACAUUAUGGCACUGAUUCCAAGCAGUCUGCACAAACACAUGGAUGUGAGAUCGAAUGGCAUUAUAAAUUGCUGCUCCAAAAAUGGUUGGAACAGGAUUGAGGGUGCGAUUGAGUCUCUGGUAGCCACAAAGACACAACCAGAUUAUCUCUGACCCUUUGCCCUCCCUAUAUGGUGACAUUGAACGUUUCAGCAGGCUACUAGAAUUUUACAAUGGGCUGCAGGAUUACUGCAAUAUAUGGGGGCACAUUUGGACCGAACUAUGACACUUUCUGGAAACAAAUUAAGUUUAUGAAGUGGAAGUAUCCACCCAAAUCACUGGAGAGUUUAAAUUUCAUCCCAGCACUUCAAGGCAGCAUUGAAGAGUAAUGAAAUAGUAAUCCUGUGCAUUUAACUCAUAACCAUGGGACUUGCUCAUCCAACUCCCAUGAUCUUAGUAUCAUUUUACAGAGGGUACAUUGAUAUUAAUUCUCCUGUGACUUUCACAAAAUGUAGCUUUAGGACUAACAGGGCAAAUCUGAAACUUGGUUAUUAAUAAAAGUUAUGAAACCAAUAUUGCUGGGUACAAUAUAUUUAGAGCAGAUAAGAUAAAAGUGGACAUAUUUGUAUUUAUAGAUAUACCGCACAGUCUCUCUGUGAAAGUUUAUCUACACUUCGAAGCAAUUUAAAUUGAUAGUCUUGAGCCUGAAAUUACAAAGCAACUGUAAUGUUACUUUUGUAGGUGUAUAAAAUCCAUCCUCUGCUAAGCAAUAUAUGCUGAACAGACGUAAAAGAGUGUCCUAGAGCCAGAGCUCCCUGUGCCUUUGUAGUGUAAUGAAAGAUGUGUUUUGGAAGGUGUGUGAAGGUGCCCUGUUGUCUUGUGUCUGUACUUAGUGGGACAUCCUAAUCUCACACCAAUGGGCCUAAUUGCUUCAUGAAAGGAGCGGACAUACAAUGUGGUGGCCAAGCACUCAUAUGAACCAGGUGUGAAGAUGGACAAAUCAACAAAGAUUUACAUUUGUAGGAUUAACUGCACUGUUGUUUGCUCUUUCAAUGUGAGUCCCACGAAGGGACAAACUCUCCAAUAGGUCUCAAUGCUGCACAUGUUAUGUAUUGUUCCAUGAGAACAAAUGGUGCUAACUGAAUACAUGUAAAUGUGUGAAUGCCGGUUUCUUUGUUUUCAUUGUAUCAGCGAAGGGGAGGUGAUUCUAUUAUAGAUGCAAUGGGGGAGUUUGGAAUCGGUCUGUCUGGUUGGCAUUGUGAAACAUUACUUACUGUAGUGCUAGGAGUCUAUCGUUAAUAGAUGCUCAAAGCACAUUUGUGCUACAGUAUAGUGUGUUUUAGAUACUUAGUAGACUUUUUUAAUUGAUUAACUUUUACCCAUUACUAUACCUUCAUUCGGGGGAUUGUAUGUCAAUAUCCCUCUCAGGGGAUACUGACAUUGUGUAGCCCAUGGAGAAAUGGCUCACCAGGCAAUGGGUAGUCCACACACUGUUAAGAACCAACUAACCAACCUACUAGCAUUUAUAGCAAUUAUAUCAUCUAAAUUGAUUAUCUUUGAAGAUUUUAACAUGGACUGAGAAACACAGGAUUUAUAUAUUAGACGAGUUCUAUACUGGGCUAAAUCGUACCAAGCUUAUCCCGAGGCCAACACAGCCUAGUCUAAAGAAAGACUACAAAGUCUACAGUGAUUGAUUACAUACUGCCAACUUUCCUGACAACAAUUUGGUGGGUGGUGUAUUUCGACCAGACAUUAGUCAGAAUCCAGAGAGCUAAAUAUUGCAUACUCACCACAAGAAACAAUUUGAAAUGUUAAUGAACAAGCCUUGUUACACGACAUUGUUAGAAAUUGGCGGUUUCGUAUAGUGGUCAAAUAAUGUAGAACCCGUAUCAAAUCGAGGGAGAAGUUUGCUCACAUUUAUUGGAGAAUUGCAGCAGAGAUGUCAUUCGAUGAACGUUCCAUUAUCUUCUCACUGUAAUGUUGUUUGGCAGUUAGCCUAUACAUUAAGGGUGUUUCUAACUAGCAAAGAUCAGGAUUCCAAGACAGUAACCCCCAUGCCAUAUGGCCAUCAUAAAAAUUCCUAUGGUCAUUAGAGCACAACCUACAGAGAGAUAAUCUAAACAGAGAUGUUUCUGUUGUUCUCAAUAUUUAGACACAUUCACUUCCAAUGAAACGUACAUUCAUAUUGUAAUUGUUAAUGCUCAGAUUCUACAACAUUAACCAAAGUAACUGUGACUGCUUUUCUGCUAUGCAAGAAGCCGAAAUGGCACCAAAGCAUUGCUUUUACUUACAUGCAGAUUGGCAUGCUACAUAUAAAAAAAAAAAAAAAGAGUAUCAUUGAAGAACUCGACUUUGAACUCAUCCAACCCUUGGUUCAAAUCUGACAUAGUUGAUGCUAUUCCCAAGAGAAACAUGGCAUGGGGGUCAAGGCUAGAAAAGCCAUUUAAAGUUCUGACAGGCAGACCUUUAAGUGACUGAGAAACUUGUGUGUAAAGCUUGUCAGAAAAUCUGAAUGACUAAUAUGUAUACACAUUUUCCCUCUCUGACACAACAGAUUGUUUUGGGACUCUGGACUCAAUAGAGAUUUCAUUUUUUUGACAGCCAUUGAAACAUUGUAUAAUAUUAGCUAGCUGUUUCAUUUUUUUGUUUAGUAGUUAGCCAAGAGAUAUAUCAGUCUUUAAUUUAGCUAACAUUUCAAUAUUUGUACUUUGAAAAUUACAUGAAAUUAAUCUGAAAUAAUUAACUGUUCUGUUCGUAAUUUUUAUGGACAGAAUUUCUAGGCGCAGCCAGGGGCCGGAGAAUGUCAGGUUUGGGGACCACAUGAUUUCGUCUCUGCUCUUUGCGGAUGAUGUUGUCGUGUUGGCCCCUUCUAACCAGGACCUUCAGCAUGCGCUGGGACGGUUUGCAGCCGAGUGUGAAGCGGUGGGGAUGAGAAUCAGUACCUCCAAAUCCGAGGCCAUUGUCCUCAAUCGAAAAAGGGUGGCUUGCCCACUUCAGGUUGGUGGAGAGUGCUUGCCUCAAGUGGAGGAGUUUAAGUAUCUAGGGGUCUUGUUCACGAGUGAGGAAAGGAUGGAACGGGAGAUUGACAGACAGAUCGGUGCAGCUUCUGCAGUAAUACGGUCAAUGUAUCGGUCUUGUCUUGGUGAAGAAAGAGCUGAGCCGCAAGGCGAAGCUCUCGAUUUACCAGUCAAUCUACGUUCCUACUCUCACCUAUGGUCAUGAGCUUUGGGUCAUGACCGAAAAGACAAGAUCCCGGAUACAGGUGGCCAAAAUGAGCUUUCUCCACAGGGUGGCUGGGCGAUCCUUAGAGAUAGAAUGAGAAGCUCGGUCACCCGGGAGGAGCUCAGAGUACAGCCGCUGCUCCUCCACAUCGAGAGGGGUCAACUGAGGUGGCUUGGGCAUCUGUUCCGGAUGCCUCCGGAACGCCUUCCUGGGAAGGUGUUCCGGUCCCGUCCCACCGGGAGGAGACCCCGGGGAAGACCUAGGACACGCUGGAGGGACUAUGUCUCCCGGCUGGCCUGGGAACGCCUCGGUGUCCCCCCGGGAAGAGCUGGAGGAAGUGUCUGGGGAGAGGGAAGUCUGGGCAUCUCUGCUUAGACUGCUGCCCCCGCGACCCGUCCCCGGAUAAGUGGAAGAUGAUGAUGAUAAUGAAUUUACAUAGCUUAAGUCUCAAUUGUUUACCAGACAUGUUAAAAACCCUUAAUAUUUCCCUGUCUUUCUUAUCACCAGGAGAUUUCAUGAAGAUCAUGAAAAAUGGACUUCCAUGAGAAAGCAGUAGGCUACACCAAGUGAGGAACAGCUAGUUCUACUGGUACAGACACUGGACAUAUUGACCUCAGUUUUGCAACCAUUCCAUACCGGUUGUCAAUGUGGAUCCUGUCUGAGAUCCUGGAGGCUCCAGCUGAUUCUCAUGGCAGCCUCGGAGUCCAUGGGAAGGCUGACCACACCCCGAGGUCAAGUUCUCUCUAAUAGUUUCAUUUCAUAUUAAACUAUUAAUGUAUAUGGCUCUGGAAACUAGCAAAUAAAGAACAAAUAUUUUAAUACAUUCUGAAUGACAAAUUAUCUACAUUUGUGGGUAUUAGGAAAUUCUUCCCCUCUUAUUUGGACAAUAUUAUAACUAAGACCCGUGAUGCUAUGAUGUUAUAUCUUUUUUAGUUUUAUAUUUGUUUAUAUAUAUAAUUAAUUAGCUAAUAUAUGCAUUUCCAUUCUAGUGCCUUGCUGGUCCAUCAUUGGAACAAUGGGGGGUGUGGGUUUGGGACUUGAGUGUUUGAGGAAGAGUGUGGGUAGGAUUUAAUUAUACUUGAAUAUUUAUUCAAUGUUAGUUUUAUUUGUAUUUUCUCUUGUGGCAUCAUUAUAUAUUUUUUGUUCUAUUUCCGUUUUAUAAAAAUAUUAACUAAAGCAAAUCCCUGAUUAGUAUUUCACUCUUUAUGUGUGGGUCUAAUAAAACAAUCUGAAUCAAAUAGAGCAUCGCAUUUCCCCCACUGCAGACCAGAGCCUCAUUUUGAUUAGGAUUGUGCUUGGUUGUGAUAGGUGUUAGACAGGGUAAGGCCUGUUCAACACAAGGUGUGGUCACUUUAAUGGAGCUGUUGUUCUGUUGUUCCCUUUUAAUAGUGAUUUUGGGAAAAGAUACAGGUUCCUUUAGGGGUUUGGGUUGUGUUGGAACUAGAUUUUGCCUUUGGUUGUUGUUUUACUGUGUUCUUGUACAUUCAAAAAGAAAAUAAAUAUUAUAGGCACUGUCUCUGCCCCAUCCACCCUGGCUUCUUUUAACAACACAUUUGAAAUGGCAAAGGACAUAUUCCUUCAUCAAAUAUUAGUACAGCAUCAGCAACACAUUCAGCGUUAAUUGCCCUGAUUCUCAGAACAGUCUGAUAGUUGAUUCUGAGAUAAACACCACUUCAAAUAAAUGUAGGAUUUUUUAUUAGAUCACCCCGUGGCAGGAUAAAUGGCACUGCAGGACACUCAAGAGUGUAAUGGAAUUGAGAAUGGAAAAAGUUACUGAAAAUGUCAGACUUCAUUUUCCCUUAACAAAAAUGUAUCAUAUAAC
ensembl:lncRNA